UAGGUAGGCUCAUAGGUAGGCUGAAUGACACAUAUAUGUAUUAUACUCUCAAGUUUUGCAGACAAUAGCCUAUUGAAUUAAAAAAACAAAAAACAUAAACCAAUAAAAACGUUAAUUGGACUUUGACACAUCGACGCACAGAUGAAGUGGAAAAUUGGACUGAGUCUUAUCGGACUGCUUAUUGUUUUUCUACUGAUCAACGCAGCCACAGAAAAUUCUCUGUUAAUUUGCCGACCGACGCAGGAAGCAGCAGUCGGAGAUGAUGUUACUUUGGACUUCCACUUUGAGCCUCAACAUGAUGUGAAGAGCACACUAGUGGAAUGGAAAUUUAACAACAUCAGCCUUGUACUUGUUUACAAAAGUAGAGGUUUUUCUACCAAUGAUCAGGCAAUACAAUUCAAAGGCAGAGCAUCUCUUGACAGCAGUGGGGAUCUAGCCAAAGGGAAACUUCCAGUGAAGAUUUCAUCAGUUAGCAAAAGUGAUGCUGGAACAUACAGCUGCUUUGUUGGAAAGGGAAAAAAACAAAUAUCCAACAGUAUUAAGCUCAUUAUUGCAGUUGAUGCAGAUAGGCAGCUCAUGAACGAAGCCCAGAAACAAAGCGACACAACGUAUGCAUUGGUGUUGGUUACAUCUACAUUCCUGUGUUUGCUGUAUUAAUGAAGAAAAGACCGUUGUUGGUGCAGCACCGAGGUGUCGGGUUUAGUGCUGAGCUGCAGUUUCUUUGAUACUGGAGGGGUCUGAUGGCAGCAGCUCUGGAAAUGAAGAUGUACCUGUUCAAUAAUGUGAUAGAAAAACAAUGGGACAAAUGUGUGAACAAUGAUUUUGUAAAAUACUUGAUUAAAAUGCCGAUACUUUAGGCUAUGAAUUUAUAAACAAUCUCAGAGAUAGAGUUGGUCUCUCAUUAUUACUCAUUAUUUUAGGGUGGCAUUCUUCCUGAUCUAAUCUAGGUCUAAUACUGAAAACAUUGUGUCAAUACAAUUUUUUGCAAGUUAGAGAGUUUGCGGGAGAUUUCUUUGUUAGGGUGGCAUUCUUCAAAAGAUGUGUUCGUGAUUAUUAAUGAAUGCUUUUAUUUGAUUAUUGUAUUGUUUAUUUUUCAUAUUAGUGUAUUUGUUUUUGGUAACACUUUCUAUGAAGGUCAUAAUAACACAAUGUAAUGCUUCCGUAUGAUAUAACAAUUAUUAUACUCACUUAUAAACAUGUAUUUGGUGCUUUAGCAAAGUUCAUAAUGCAUUACAAGCUAAUGUUAAUACCAGUUUAUAACACUGUGCACCAAGAAUCUCAGACCAUGUGCUAUAGUAUAUUAUAACCAUCGACUUUGCCUCGUUAUAAUACUAACUAGUCAAUUUGCUGAUAAUAAUACCAUAUAGUGAUUUUAAUGUAAUAUAGCAUGUCAUAGAAUAGCAAUGUCCAUCCCUGUAUGAUAUAGGUGGACAUAAGACAACGUGAACUAAUUGUAAGAACUGAUAACAAGUAUUUGUUUGCUUUAAGUAAAGUGACACAGAGGAAAAAAAUUAACUUUUAUUUAUUUUUCUUCACUUUCUGAACAAUCAUUUCCACAGCUGAACAAUCAUUUGUUCAGAAAGUCCAAUCAAUCUGUCCAAUCAUUUUACAUCAUUUUACAUCAUUUUAAGCCUACCUACAAUAUUUUAUGUUGUUACAGACAUUUUAAUAAAACACGGUCUGAGAUUCUUGGCCCACCGUGGUAUAAAAUGGUAUUACCAUUAGUUCUAAAACAUUAAAUCAAAAGGUCUUAUUGCAUUAUGAACUUUGCUAUAGCACUUAAUGCAAGUUUGUAAGUGAGUGUGAUGAGCUUCAUAAAAAGUGUUAGAUUUUUUAAAUUAGAUUUUCUUCUUACAGUGCUUCUUUUAAGUGUGUUUUUGCUUCAUGUUAACUUGUUUUACCUGCCCUGUGAAUCACUUUCCAGCAUAUGUUUAAAAAGAACACUAUACUGUAAUUAAAAUGUAUUAAUAUUAUUUUAAUACAUCCUUUUGAUUUACUAUACGCUGUGAACAUCUGGACAUUAUGAGGCUGAGACGUUAUUGCUAAUAAAAGUUUGGACAAGUAAUAUAUACACUAUAUGUACACUGUUGUACAUUUAUGAUAAUUGUUAUUUUGAGCUGAUUUAUGGUCUGUAACUUCUGACGUGUUGGAUUUGAUCUGUGCCUGUAUAAUACUGAUCUUAAUGUUUCUAGUUGUUUUUACUCUCAGUAUCAGACAGUGUUGUCCAGCUCUGCUCUGACUGGUCCAGCUGUGGAGUAGAUUGACUGCAUGCAGAUCACAACCACCUGAUUGAUGAAUUUGUUUGUGUGUAUUUAUUGCUCAAUGCCUGACGAAAAUCUCCUGUUAGAUCAAAAUGUUGCUUAAUUAAAAGUACUGGGAGCUGUA